AUGAACGCUGGCGGCGUGCCUAAUACAUGCAAGUCGAGCGAACAGACGAGGAGCUUGCUCCUCUGACGUUAGCGGCGGACGGGUGAGUAACACGUGGAUAACCUACCUAUAAGACUGGGAUAACUUCGGGAAACCGGAGCUAAUACCGGAUAAUAUAUUGAACCGCAUGGUUCAAUAGUGAAAGACGGUUUUGCUGUCACUUAUAGAUGGAUCCGCGCCGCAUUAGCUAGUUGGUAAGGUAACGGCUUACCAAGGCAACGAUGCGUAGCCGACCUGAGAGGGUGAUCGGCUACACUGGAACUGAGACACGGUCCAGACUCCUACGGGAGGCAGCAGUAGGGAAUCUUCCGCAAUGGGCGAAAGCCUGACGGAGCAACGCCGCGUGAGUGAUGAAGGUCUUCGGAUCGUAAAACUCUGUUAUUAGGGAAGAACAAAUGUGUAAGUAACUAUGCACGACUUGACGGUACCUAAUCAGAAAGCCACGGCUAACUACGUG
rnacentral:rRNA from 1 species